rnacentral:rRNA from 1 species
UACGUAGGGGGCUAGCGUUGUCCGGAAUCAUUGGGCGUAAAGAGCGCGUAGGCGGCCAGAUAAGUCCGGUGUGAAAGUCACAGGCUCAACCUGUGAAUGCCGCUGGAAACUGUCUGGCUAGAGUCCGGAAGGGGCGAGUGGAAUUCCUGGUGUAGCGGUGAAAUGCGCAGAUAUCAGGAGGAACACCAAUGGCGAAGGCAGCUCGCUGGGACGGUACUGACGCUGGAGACGCGAAAGCGUGGGGAGCGAACAGG